GAAAUUCGAUAAGUAGUGUGAAUUGCAGAAUUCAGUGAAUCAUCGAAUCUUUGAACGCACAUUGCGCCCCUUGGUAUUCCAUGGGGCAUGCCUGUUCGAGCGUCAUCUACACCCUCAAGCUCUGCUUGGUGUUGGGCGUCUUUGUCCCGCCUCCGCGCGCGGACUCGCCCCAAAUUCAUUGGCAGCGGUCCUUGCCUCCUCUCGCGCAGCACAUUGCGCUUCUCGAGGUGUUGCGGCCCGCGUCCAGAAAGCAAUCGUUACCGUCUUUGACCUCGGAUCAGGUAGGGAUACCCGCUGAACUUAAGC
rnacentral:misc_RNA from 1 species